rnacentral:rRNA from 1 species
ACGCUCGACACCUACGGGAGGCGGCAGUGGGGAAUAUUGGGCAAUGGGCGCAAGCCUGACCCAGCAACGCCGCGUGAAGGAAGAAGGCCCUCGGGUUGUAAACUUCUUUUGACAGGGACGAAACAAAUGACGGUACCUGUCGAAUAAGCCACGGCUAACUACGUGCCAGUAGCCGCGGUAAUCUGAGCGGGCUGGCAAGGC